rnacentral:lncRNA from 1 species
GGCAACCACAAAGAUGUAGCAACUGAGACUAGCAGAAAGGAGGAAAGGCCAAAGGAUGUCAGAUAAUGCACGUACUAUCAAAAUAACUUGUGUCAUCCUCCGAUUCCAGUUGGGGAAUAAAUUCCGCCUUCUGUCUCAGCAAACUGUUCCAGUCUAGGGAGCGGAAGAAACGAUGCUGCUUCACUUCAUAGGCUCCACCUGGAUGGGGAAAGGAGUGAGGCUGAGAGGCUGAGCCACCCUCUGCAGAGUAAGCACCAGGCUUAAAAACAGUUCAUGAUAUUUAUUAGCAGAGAAAUGAAGAAGUGGUAGAGUCCACACUACCCCCCCACCCCCACCUUCUACAACCAAAACUUGGAAAAAAAAAAUUCCUAUAAUUUAUCAGCAGGAAAUCUGAUUUUGCUAACAGCGGUUGCUAUAGCACAGAUUUUUCUCGGUUAAUUUUUCUACGACUUCUUCCAUUUUUCAAAGGUUAAUGACAGGGCCACUUAAAAUCACAUUAUACUGGACCUGGGGACAUGGACGCACGUUGGCCCAAAAGCAGACUCGCUCAUUACAAACCCUGAAGAUCCUAACAAGGUGCAAAACGUGCUUACAGCAAGAUUUCUUCUGGAGGGAAGGUUGAUAAUGAUGGAUUUUCCCUAAAUAUUAUACAAUGGUUACCAUUCAGUUUU